AACGAACGCUGGCGGCAGGCCUAACACAUGCAAGUCGAACGCCCUGGCAACAGGGAGUGGCAGACGGGUGAGUAACGCGUGGGAACGUGCCCUUCGGUUCGGAAUAACUCAGGGAAACUUGAGCUAAUACCGGAUACGUGCGAGAGCAGAAAGAUUUAUCGCCGAAGGAUCGGCCCGCGUCCGAUUAGCUAGUUGGUGAGGUAACGGCUCACCAAGGCGACGAUCGGUAGCUGGUCUGAGAGGAUGAUCAGCCACACUGGGACUGAGGCACGGCCCAGACUCCUACGGGAGGCAGCAGUGGGGAAUAUUGGACAAUGGGCGCAAGCCUGAUCCAGCCAUGCCGCGUGAGUGAUGAAGGCCCUAGGGUUGUAAAGCUCUUUCGCCAGGGACGAUAAUGACGGUACCUGGAUAAGAAGCCCCGGCUAACUUCGUGCCAGCAGCCGCCGCAG
rnacentral:rRNA from 1 species